rnacentral:rRNA from 1 species
AAUGAACGCUGGCGGCAUGCCUAAUACAUGCAAGUCGAACGGACGCACAGUAAGCUUGCGUUUCUACUGUUGGCGGCUGACGGACGGGUGACGCAUACAUCACCAUCCUCUUAUUCUUGGGUAAUUUCGUGGAGCCAGUUCUACUACUAGAUAAUAUUUUGUACCGCUUAGUUCAAAAGUUCAUCGCGCUCUUCCUGUCUCUUUGAGCUGAUUUCGCAUUAGCUAGUUGGCUGGGUAAAGGCCCACCAAGGCAACGAUCCGUAGCCUGUCUGAGAGGAUGAUCAGCCACACUGGAACUGAGACACGGUCCAGACUCCUACGGGAGGCAGCAGUGGGGAAUAUUGGACAAUGGGCGCAAGCCUGAUCCAGCCAUACCGCGUGGGUGAAGAAGGCCUUCGGGUUGUAAAGCCCUUUUGUUGGGAAAGAAAAGAAGCAGGUUAAUACCCCGAUGUUCUGACGGUACCCAAAGAAUAAGCACCGGCUAACUUCGUG